GAUGAAGAACGUAGCAAAAUGCGAUAAGUAAUGUGAAUUGCAGAAUUCAGUGAAUCAUCGAAUCUUUGAACGCACAUUGCGCCCGCCAGUAUUCUGGCGGGCAUGCCUGUUCGAGCGUCAUUUCAACCCUCAAGCACAGCUUGGUGUUGGGACUCGCGUUAAUUCGCGUUCCCCAAAUUGAUUGGCGGUCACGUCGAGCUUCCAUAGCGUAGUAGUAAAACCCUCGUUACUGGUAAUCGUCGCGGACACGCCGUUAAACCCCAACUUCUGAAUGUUGACCUCGGAUCAGGUAGGAAUACCCGCUGAACUUAAGCAUAUCAAUAAGCGGAGGA
rnacentral:misc_RNA from 1 species